CAGGAAGUGUGGCAUGAUGUAGUUCCAGCAGGAGCCUGGAGAGAGUAAAGAAAGAGAACAAAGGAGGGAGAUGUUUGGAGUUCAGCAAAAGCACAUGACUCCAAGCUGGUGUUCUGACAUUAUCCAGCUGGGUCAAGAGCUCCUUGAGUUAUCUCAGUGACUGCUGCCAUCAAGAGGAAGUGCAAAAAAGGUGGAAGCAGAAAUUCAAAUGUUGAAACAGUUGUCCAAUAGAAAUAUAAGGUGGAUCUAUCUUAUAAAGAGCCAUCUUGUCCACUCUGGUUAGCUGGAUAACGUCCCUCAAAGAUAUCCAGGCCCUAAUCCUUGUAAUCAGUGAAUGCUACCUUAUACAGAAAAAGGGUCUUUGCAGAUAUAAUGAAAUCAAGGGCCUGGAGAAGGGUCCUUCUGGAUUAUCUAGGCAAGCUCUGGAGGUCGUCGCAAGAGCUUAACUGGGAGGCAGAGGGAGAUUUGACUAUAGAGAAGAAAGCCAUGUGAUGCUGGAGCAGAGAAAAAUUUGAAGAUUUCUGCUCCUGGCUUUGAAGAUAAAGCAAGGGGCCAUGAGCCAUGGAACUCAAGGAACACGGCUCUGGAAGCUGGAAACAGCAACUCUUCCCUAGAUCCUCUCAAGGGACAAGGUCUUGCCAACACCUUGAGUUCAGCCCAGUCAAACGGAUUUUGGACUUCUACCUCUCCAACUGUGUAAGAAUCAAUAUAUGUUCUUUUAAACAAGUUUGUGGUAAUUAAUUACAGCAGCC